rnacentral:pre_miRNA from 1 species
UCCGGUGGCCAGAUCUGGCCGUCGGGAGGCCAGAUCUGGCGGUCCGUCGGCCAGAUCUGGCCUCCGCGACCUCAGGCCGCCAAAUCUGGCGGUCCGGCGGCCAGAUCUGGCGGUCCGA